AACGCAACUAGAACAUUGUUAUAAAUUCUUAAUGCCUCUUUUAAGAAUAGAAAAUGACAACUCAUCAAAGAACAAUUCAUCGGAGUUCACCCAGCACUGACCUGAGCGCUUCAUUGCUCUGAACUAUGGAACCCUUUCCAAUUUACCAGGCAAAAUGCUUAGAGUGGAGAAAAGAGAAUUUUCAUACAUUAAUAGUCUAGAUUGGUAGGUUUCAAAAUUUCUUGGCUGAAGAAAAUUGUUCCAUUUUUUUCAAAGGAAUUAGUAGGCAGAAAUCCAAUGUAAUAACAACAAUAAUAGCAAUAACUAAUAUUUAUUAUAACUGUGUUCCAGGUACUAUUCUAAAUAUUCUCAUUAAUAUAGUUAAAACUCAUAGCAUUACCCAGAGUUCAUUAAUAUUAUUACACCCAGUUUAUACUAGAUGAAGAAAGUUGGUAAUAGUGAGUUUAAGUAAAUUGUGUAGAUCACCAAAGUUAUAAUGGAAGGAGCCAGAUUUCAAACAAGUCUACCCCGGAGCUCAUUUGUACUCUUUCCUUCCAUAUAUAGCAGAGCUGUCUGGUUGGGAGUGAAUGGACAUCCCAAGCACUGCCUAGUGGUCUAAAUGAAAUCUGCCUUCAGAGCACUUCAUAUGUAGAUAUCAGGAAAGUACUUCUGAGGUUGUCCUUGAAUUUACUAAACAGAAGUCUCUCCUUUUUAUGAUCUACUGUUUUUAAAUAUAUCCAACCCCUUUCCAUUUAAUUUUCCAGAGUCAGCUCUAAGAUACAGUCAUAUCCAAAUGAGAAACAAUUUUUUCAAGUCCCCUUCUGGAGCAGAAGGGCAGAAGUAAACAGUAGAUUCCUCGUAAGGAAAAUAAGUGUUCAGAGCAGCUACAUGUGACUAAAAUGGAUGUCAGCUGAUUGUGGGAGAGUAAUGACCACGUGGAACUCUGUCCUUUACAUAUUCAAUAGAUGUCCAAUGACCAUGGUGGUCAGAAGAAUGUAUAAAGAGGGAAAAGUCACCCAAAUUGGGGCCACAUCUUGCAUACUGAAGUGGAGGAGACUGGUGGAGGAGCAAGUAUGAGGAGGAAGAGACAAGUGAAGAUCAAGAAGCUUUUGAGGAAAGUCCAGAUGGAGGCAGACACCUUACUCUGAAACUUAUGGUAAAGUUCAGGCCUAGAAAACAAAUCUCUUACUUAUUUCAGGAAAUAUUCCUAAUAUUUGCCGGGUGGGGAAAAUAGCUCAGAUAACAUUAUGUUUUAUUUUCUUCGAAUUGGCAUUCAGCAGUCCCAAUGUAGGAGCUGUCAUAAAUGACAAAGACUAGUACCAGUUUUCCAAGGAUAAACAUCAAAAAAUAGCUCCAAGCCUUAAAGAUUCUCAUUCAGCAACUAGAACAUAGAGCAGGUAGAAACAAAUGGUGAUGAGAUUUCAGAUGAUUAGUUUUCAUCCAUGAUACAAGAAUAAAUGGGUUCCAUUUAAUCA
rnacentral:lncRNA from 12 species